GCCUCUACUCUGCUGAACCUGGCCCCUAGAUGUAGCACUGCUGAAACUACCUGGUCCACGAGCCCUCUUGGCCUCCCUCUCCUCUCUCUCCUGACGAUGAUCUGACUCAAUGUCUCUAGCAAUGUCAACAACAUCCUCACAUGUAUGACUCAGAACCCUCUCUCGCGCCAUCAGAAUACGGAUGGGAUAAACGAGUCCGUCCACAAAUCUCCUAAUCCUAUCCCGAUCCGUUGGGACCAUCCAUGGAGCAUAAUGAGCCAAUUAUGAGAACCUCAUCUCAUACUGCGUCACUGUCAUAUCACCCUGACGAAGGUACUCAAACUAUCUCCGCAGCUCCUCCCUCUGGGACUGCGGUACCCACUUCUCCAAAAAGAGAGCGGAGAACUCCUGCCACGAUAAGGGCGAUGCACCCACCGGCCUACGCCGCUCAUACUCCUCCCACCAAUUGAAAGCUGCACCCGAGAACUGAAAUGUAGUAAAAGAAACACCACUAGACUCCAAGAUCCAUGCGGUCUGAAGCAUACGUCUACACUUGUCCAGAAAUCCCUGGGCAUCCUAGC
rnacentral:lncRNA from 1 species